GUGUCAGCAGCCGUGGUAAUACGUAGGGUGCAAGCGUUAAUCGGAAUUACUGGGCGUAAAGCGUGCGCAGGCGGUUAUGCAAGACAGGUGUGAAAUCCCCGAGCUCAACUUGGGAACUGCACUUGUGACUGCAUAGCUAGAGUACGGUAGAGGGGAUGGAAUUCCGCGUGUAGCAGUGAAAUGCGUAGAUAUGCGGAGGAACACCGAUGGCGAAGGCAAUCCCCUGGACCUGUACUGACGCUCAUGCACGAAAGCGUGGGGAGCAAACAGGAUUAGAAACCCGCGUAGUCC
rnacentral:rRNA from 1 species